rnacentral:rRNA from 1 species
AUUGAACGCUGGCGGAAUGCUUUACACAUGCAAGUCGGGCGGCAGCACGGGGGCAACCCUGGUGGCGAGCGGCGAACGGGUGAGUAACACAUCGGAACGUACCCUGUCGUGGGGGAUAACGAAUCGAAAGAUUCGCUAAUACCGCAUACGACCUGAGGGUGAAAGCGGGGGAUCGCAAGACCUCGCGCGAUAGGAGCGGCCGAUGUCGGAUUAGCUAGUUGGUGGGGUAAAGGCUCACCAAGGCGACGAUCCGUAGCUGGUCUGAGAGGAUGAUCAGCCACACUGGGACUGAGACACGGCCCAGACUCCUACGGGAGGCAGCAGUGGGGAAUUUUGGACAAUGGGCGCAAGCCUGAUCCAGCCAUUCCGCGUGAGUGAAGAAGGCCUUCGGGUUGUAAAGCUCUUUCGGCAGGAACGAAACGGUGAGGGCUAAUAUCCCUUGCUACUGACGGUACCUGAAGAAGAAGCACCGGCUAACUACGUGCCAGCCGCCGCAGUAAGAC